rnacentral:rRNA from 1 species
GGAUGUGAUCAUACCAGCACUAAAGCACCGGAUCCCAUCAGAAUUCCGAAGUUAAGCGUGCUUGGGCGAGAGUAGUACUAGGAUGGGUGACCUCCUGGGAAGUCCUCGUGUUGCAUUCC